GUGCUCGCUUCAGCAGCACAUAUACUAAAAUUGGAACGAUACAGAGAUUAGCAUGGCCCCUGCACAAUGAUGACAUGCAAAAUCGUGAAGUGUUCCAUAUUUUU